AUUGAACGCUGGCGGCAUGCCUUACACAUGCAAGUCGAACGGUAACGGGCCUUCGGGUGCCGACGAGUGGCGCACGGGUGAGUAAUACAUCGGAACGUGCCCGAUCGUGGGGGAUAACGAGGCGAAAGCUUUGCUAAUACCGCAUACGAUCUACGGAUGAAAUCCGGGGACCGCAAGGCCUUGCGCGGACGGAGCGGCCGAUGGCAGAUUAGGUAGUUGGUGGGAUAAAAGCUUACCAAGCCGACGAUCUGUAGCUGGUCUGAGAGGAUGAUCAGCCACACUGGGACUGAGACACGGCCCAGACUCCUACGGGAGGCAGCAGUGGGGAAUUUUGGACAAUGGGCGCAAGCCUGAUCCAGCCAUGCCGCGUGCAGGAUGAAGGCCUUCGGGUUGUAAACUGCUUUUGUACGGAACGAAAAGCCUUCUUUUAAUACAGGAGGGUCAUGACGGUACCGGAAGAAUAAGCACCGGCUAACUACGUG
rnacentral:rRNA from 1 species